rnacentral:rRNA from 1 species
AACGAACGCUGGCGGCAGGCUUAACACAUGCAAGUCGAGCGCCCCGCAAGGGGAGCGGCAGACGGGUGAGUAACGCGUGGGAACGUACCUUUUGGUUCGGAACAACUCCGGGAAACUGGAGCUAAUACCGGAUAAGCCCUAACGGGGAAAGAUUUAUCGCCGAAAGAUCGGCCCGCGUCUGAUUAGCUAGUUGGUGAGGUAACGGCUCACCAAGGCGACGAUCAGUAGCUGGUCUGAGAGGAUGAUCAGCCACACUGGGACUGAGACACGGCCCAGACUCCUACGGGAGGCAGCAGUGGGGAAUAUUGGACAAUGGGCGCAAGGCUGAUCCAGCCAUGCCGCGUGAGUGAUGAAGGCCUUAGGGUUGUAAAGCUCUUUUGUCCGGGAAGAUAAUGACUGUACCGGAAGAAUAAGCCCCGGCUAACUUCGUG